CAUGAUAAUUACUGAACUUGUUAAACGGUUCCAUAAGUGUCCUCAACGUUAAUUGGACAAAAAAACGCAUUGAUCUAUCCCAUGUGACACAUGACGUGUCAAACCAACUCAGAAAAUUUGUGCCACAUGUGCAAUUUCUGGUUUUUCGAGAAACUGGAUUUAAUCGACCAGAUUGAAUAGUAAACCAGGUUUACUAGAAUCGAUUUAAACCGGAUUUACUGGAACCCAAUCAGAGCCAACUCCUCUUCCAGAUUGUCGUUCUAGACCUCCGCUUCCCAAUCUCUAUGCCGACUAGCCGCCUUCGGUCGCCGGCGCUGUGUCAGCUGUCUAUCUCUCGGCUUGUGGAGGUCCGGUCACACCUACGGAACCCUAUCAUUUCUCUCGACGAUCACUGGGGCCAAUAGGCUGCGCUCUUCGUCGUCGGUGCUUUCGGUGUCUGGUAUUCCGACGAUCUCCCUUCUUGCUCGAUUUCCAGAGGUGGCGAUUUUCUUUUCUGGGUCUGAUUUCGGGGAGAUUCACCGUUUUAAAGGUCGGAGAAGACGAAGUAAGAAGCAUUGUGAGUGGAGCGUUGACAAAACAUGAGCUCUUUCUUACCGUCUUCGAUGGGUGACGCCAUGAUCGGAGUUCGAAGCUAGGUGAGAUGAGCUUGUGGUCUGAUAAUUGGAGAGAGAGACCAAAAAAGAAAGAAAUGGGAAAGUGAAGAGAAAGUAGCGAAAGGGAAGUCAACUGGAGGGAAGACCCACGUGAACACAGGAAACAAAAAAAAAGUAUAAUGGAUGCAACUAAUGAGAGGAUGAUGAUUAUUUAUUAUAAAUCUGAUGGCAAGUGGGUAGUAAAAUCGAUCGGAGCAUAUGAAUGGGAAGGAAAGAAGAAUACAUGUUCGAUAGGUUCAGCCAACAUAUCAUUGUCAUAAGAUCAUGCGGGUGGAAUGUAUUU